AUUGAACGCUGGCGGCAGGCCUAACACAUGCAAGUCGAGCGAGCGGCGGACGGGUGAGUAAUGUCUGGGAAACUGCCUGAUGGAGGGGGAUAACUACUGGAAACGGUAGCUAAUACCGCAUACCAUCAGAUGUGCCCAGAUGGGAUUAGCUAGUAGGUGGGGUAACGGCUCACCUAGGCGACGAUCCCUAGCUGGUCUGAGAGGGUGACCAGCCAAACGGGAACUGAGACACGGUCCAGACCCCUACGGGAGGCAGCAGGGGGGAAGAUUGCACAAUGGGCGCAAGCCUGAUGCAGCCAUGCCGGGUGGAUGAAGAAGGCCUUCGGGUUGUAAAGUACUUUCAGCGGGGAGGCGUUACCCGCAGAAGAAGCACCGGCUAACUCCGUGCCAGCAGCCGCGUAAUUC
rnacentral:rRNA from 1 species